CAAGCUCACUUUACCUUUAAACUUUAAAUUUGGUAGCCAAACGGAACCGUGUGACGCCUCUUCCUGACAACUGCGUUCCAGGCCAGCCUCUUUUGUGUUUGCACUACUUUGUGACAUGUUCUGAUUUUAUUUGGACUUGUUUCGUCAUGGAGAUUUCAUUUGAAGGCAAACACGCUCUGGUCACCGGAGCAGGAAAAGGUAAAUGCAAGACGCAAAAAAAAA